rnacentral:rRNA from 1 species
AGCGAACGCUGGCGGCAGGCUUAAUACAUGCAAGUCGAGCGCCUGUAGCAAUACAGGAGCGGCAGACGGGAGAGUAACACGUGGGAACGUGCCCUUUAGUUCGGAACAACCCAGGGAAACUUGGGCUAAUACCGGAUACGCCCUUACGGGGAAAGACUUAUCGCGAAAGGAUCGGCCCGCGUCUGAUUAGCUAGUUGGGGGGGUAAUGGCCCACCAAGGCGAGGGUCAGUGGCUGGUCUAAGAGGAUGAUCAGCCUCAUUGGGACUGAGACACGGCCCAAAAUCCUACGGGAGGCAGGAGGAGGGAAUAUUGGACAAUGGGGGCAACCCUGAUCCAGCAAUGCCGCGUGAGUGAUGAAGGCCUUAGGGUUGUAAAGCUCUUUCGGCGGGGAAGAUAAUGACGGUACCCGCAUAAGAAGCCCCGGCUAACUUCGUGCCAGCAGCCGCGGUAA